CACUGUCCCUGUCUACUAUCC
rnacentral:siRNA from 1 species